rnacentral:rRNA from 1 species
GAUGAACGCUGGCGGCGUGCCUAAUACAUGCAAGUCGACCGAACAAACGGGGAGCUUACUGCUUCGACGUUAGCGGCGGACGGGUGAGCAACACGAAGAUAACCCUCCUAUAAGACUGGGACAACUUCGGGAAACCGGAGCUAAUACCGGAUAAUAUUCCGAACCGCAUGGUUCGUUGGUGAAACAUGGCCUUGCUAACACUAAUAGAUGGACCUGCGCCGUAUUAGCUAGUUGGUAAGGCAACGGCUUACCAAGGCAGCGAUACGUAGCCCAUCUGAGAGGCUGAUCGGCUAUACGGGAACAGAGACACGGACGAGCUUCCCACGGGAUGCAGGGGUAGGGAAAUAGGCGCAAUAGUCGAAAGCGUGACGAGGGAACGCGGCGUGGGUGAUGAAGGUCUUAGGAGCGUAAGACUCUGUUAUUGGGGAAGAACAGACGUAUAUUGAACUGUGCACGACUUGACGGUACCUGAUCAGUAAGCCACGGCUAACUACGUG